rnacentral:rRNA from 1 species
UACAGAGGUCUCAAGCGUUGUUCGGAUUCAUUGGGCGUAAAGGGUGCGUAGGCGGCGCGGUAAGUCGGGUGUGAAAUCUUGGAGCUUAACUCCGAAACUGCAUUCGAUACUGCCGUGCUUGAGGACUGGAGAGGAGACUGGAAUUUCCGGUGUAGCGGUGAAAUGCGUAGAUAUCGGAAGGAACAUCAGUGGCGAAGGCGACUCUUUGGCCUGUAACUGACGCUGAGGCGGCGAAAGCGUGGGGAGCAAACAGG